rnacentral:rRNA from 1 species
CAGUCGCCGCGGUAAUACGUAGGUCCCGAGCGUUGUCCGGAUUUAUUGGGCGUGAAGCGAGCGCAGGCGGUUAGAUAAGUCUGAAGUUAAAGGCUGUGGCUUAACCAUAGUACGCUUUGGAAACUGUUUAACUUGAGUGCAAGAGGGGAGAGUGGAAUUCCAUGUGUAGCGGUGAAAUGCGUAGAUAUAUGGAGGAACACCGGUGGCGAAAGCGGCUCUCUGGCUUGUAACUGACGCUGAGGCUCGAAAGUGUGGGGAGCAAACAGGAUUAGAUACCCGAGUAGUCCCUGUCUCUUAUACA